CAGUAGCCGCGGUAAUACAGAGGAUGCAAGCGUUAUCCGGAGUGAUUGGGCGUAAAGGGCUCGCAGGCGGUUUCUUAAGUCUGAUGUGAAAGCCCCCGGCUCAACCGGGGAGGGUCAUUGGAAACUGGGAAACUUGAGUGCAGAAGAGGAGAGUGGAAUUCCACGUGUAGCGGUGAAAUGCGUAGAGAUGUGGAGGAACACCAGUGGCGAAGGCGACUCUCUGGUCUGUAACUGACGCUGAGGAGCGAAAGCGUGGGGAGCGAACAGGAUUAGAUACCCCAGUAGUCCCUGUCUCUUAUAC
rnacentral:rRNA from 1 species